rnacentral:rRNA from 1 species
AUUGAACGCUGGCGGCAGGCCUAACACAUGCAAGUCGAGCGGAUGAGGGGAGCUUGCUUCCUGAUUCAGCGGCGGACGGGUGAGUAAUGCCUAGGAAUCUGCCUGGUAGUGGGGGACAACGUUUCGAAAGGAACGCUAAUACCGCAUACGUCCUACGGAAGAAGGUGGGGGAUCUUCGGACCUCACGCUAUCAGAUUAGCUUAGGUCGGAUUAGCUAGUUGGUGAGGUAAAGGCUCACCAAGGCGACGAUCCGUAACUGGUCUGAGAGGAUGAUCAGUCACACUGGAACUGAGACACGGUCCAGACUCCUACGGGAGGCAGCAGUGGGGAAUAUUGGACAAUGGGCGAAAGCCUGAUCCAGCCAUGCCGCGUGUGUGAAGAAGGUCUUCGGAUUGUAAAGCACUUUAAGUUGGGAGGAAGGGCUGUAGGCUAAUAUCCUGCAGUUUUGACGUUACCGACAGAAUAAGCACCGGCUAACUUCGUGCCAGCCGCCGCGGUAACAC